rnacentral:rRNA from 1 species
CCUACGGGGGGCAGCAGUGAGGAAUAUUGGUCAAUGGACGCAAGUCUGAACCAGCCAUGCCGCGUGCAGGAAGACGGCCCUAUGAGUUGUAAACUGCUUUUGUACGAGGGUAAACUCAGAUACGCGUAUCUUUCUGUAUGUAUCUUACGAAUAAGGAUCGGCUAACUCCGUGCCAGCAGCCGCGGUAAUACGGAGGAUUCAAGCGUUAUCCGGAUUUAUUGGGUUUAAAGGGUGCGUAGGCGGUCGGUUAAGUUAGAGGUGAAAUCCCGGGGCUCAACUUCGGAAUUGCCUCUGAUACUGUUCGGCUAGAGCGUAGUUGCGGUAGGCGGAAUGUGUGGUGUAGCGGUGAAAUGCUUAGAGAUCAUGCAGAACACCGAUUGCGAAGGCAGCAUACCAAGCUGCAUCUGACGUUGAGGCACGAAAGCGUGGGGAGCAAACAGGAUUAGAUACCCCUGUAGUC